ensembl:snoRNA
AACAAAGGAUGCUAAGCAUGAUGAUUGGAUUUUCAUGCUCAUGUGUGAGAUGUGCCUCCUUCAAACUCUGUUACCAUGUCUGCACAUUACCUAUCUGACA